CCGGUUGAUCCUGCCGGACCUGACUGCUAUCGGAUUGAUACUAAGCCAUGCGAGUCAUUGUAGCAAUACAAGGCAGACGGCUCAGUAACGCGUAGUCAACCUAACCUAUGGACGGGAAUAACCUCGGGAAACUGAGAAUAAUGCCCGAUAGAACACUAUAUCUGGAAUGGUUUGUGUUCCAAAUGAUUUAUCGCCGUAGGAUGGGACUGCGGCCUAUCAGUUUGUUGGUGAGGUAAUGGCCCACCAAGACUAUUACAGGUACGGGCUCUGAGAGGAGUAGCCCGGAGAUGGGUACUGAGACACGGACCCAGGCCCUAUGGGGCGCAGCAGGCGAGAAAACUUUGCAAUGUGCGAAAGCACGACAAGGUUAAUCCGAGUGGUUUGUGCUAAACGAACCUUUUGUCGGUCCUAGAAACACCGAUGAAUAAGGGGUGGGCAAGUUCUGGUGUCAGCCGCCGCGGUAAAACCAGCACCUCAAGUGGUCAGGAUGAUUAUUGGGCCUAAAGCAUCCGUAGCCGGCGCUGUAAGUUUUCGGUUAAAUCUGUACGCUCAACGUACAGGCUGCCGGGAAUACUGCAGCGCUAGGGAGUGGGAGAGGUAGACGGUACUCGGUAGGAAGGGGUAAAAUCCUUUGAUCUAUUGAUGACCACCUGUGGCGAAGGCGGUCUACCAGAACACGUCCGACGGUGAGGGAUGAAAGCUGGGGGAGCAAACCGGAUUAGAUACCCGGGUAGUCCCAGCUGUAAACUAUGCAAACUCAGUGAUGCAUUGGCUUGUGGCCAAUGCAGUGCUGCAGGGAAGCCGUUAAGUUUGCCGCCUGGGAAGUACGUACGCAAGUAUGAAACUUAAAGGAAUUGGCGGGGGAGCACCACAAGGGGUGAAGCCUGCGGUUCAAUUGGAUUCAACGCCGGAA
rnacentral:rRNA from 1 species